GAGAGUAUAGCUCAAGGUAGAGUGCAUGCAGGAGGUCCUGGGUUCAAUCCCCAGUACCUCCU
rnacentral:tRNA from 1 species